rnacentral:lncRNA from 1 species
AUGAACUUUUUCAAAACAUUUGUCACUCCGACCAAAACAAGCAAAGAAGCCAAAGCCACUCCUGAUGCUUCUAAAGAGCAGUCACAGAAAGAGACCCCACCAGCACCAUCUACUAAUGAAGCACCCAAGGCACCCCCUCCUCCUCCCCCAGCGCCACCUAAGAUGGAAAGCAAAGCAGAGCCGGCGGUGAAGAAAGAGGACACGUCUGCAACAAAAGCAGCCGCGGCAGCUGCAACAAAAAGCAGAGGGAUCUGCCAAGAGCAAAACUAAAGACAGUGCAUUAGGCAAACUCUUCCGUUCAAAGGUAAGCUCAAACCUGACAGCAGCAACAAUAAAGCACAUUAAUACAACUUCAUUUAAAUAAAUAAACACAUUAAUUAAUUAAAGCAUCCUCAACAAAUUAAGGAAACACAACCAAUUGCAAUUAUAUUAUUAUUUAAUCAAAUGAUAAAAAAAUUUACUCUAAACUACAUCUAUAAAGAAGUCGCUAU